ACCCCUAAGAAAAAAAGAUCAAAGUGCUGACACAAACAUCCCCCAAGAAAUUAAGAAAUUUUUGCCUUACCCCUCAGAAAAAACGCAUAGAUCAAAGGAUGCCGAUGCACACAACCCCUCAGAAACGGCUUUUUCACCCCCCCCUCAGAAAUUCUCGUACAUAGGGGGGUGUGUAUAUUAAAUGGAAUGGCCCUUUACAUGAGACCGGGACGAAGUCAAACCGGAAUGAAAAUGGAAAUUGUCAACAUGUUUACAUGAGACCGGUACGAGGAUCACAAAAUCUUCAAUUUAUUCCCCUUGCCAGGCAAUUUUCUUUUUCAGGUAGCUUUUGCUAGCAUGUGUUGUUCCAAUGUCAAGAUUACAGCCGAGACCGCCGUCUGAAAUGUAUUUGUGUUUACAUUCAUCCCGGUCUGAAUUCAUGCCGGUCUGAAGUCAGUUGGUUCGGUCCAGCAGGCGGAAUGACUUGGACCGGUCUGAUUAUAUUUUCGUCCCGGUCUCAUGUAAACAUCUAUUAUAGAUAAUACUAUGACCGAAACGAGAUGGUUUGACUUUGUUCCGGUCUCAUGUAAACGGGGCCUUACCGAUUGGAACGUUUCAACCGGUAAAUUUUGUUCCAUUUACAUCUCUUUUUUAUUUUUUCACCAGUUCCAUGCUCGAUUUAACAAUUGGAAUUAUAAAAUACUUCAGUGCCUUCUGGUCAGUCACUCUAAAUGGAAAGUGCAUAAUCCGAAUGGGAUUUUCUAUCCGAAAUUUUGCUUACCAUUAGCACAAUUUCAAACUGGAUGAGUUUUCCGUGUAAAUGGUAAACAACCCUGAUCACAGAGUAGAGACACAUACAGAAGGUUGACUUCAUGGUAAUGGUUUUGCCUACAGGACCUUUUUUAAGAAUUUUCCUGUGAGGGGGGGGGGGGGGGGGAAUGGCAUGUGUGUGGCCAACAUACCGCACAUGAAUGGGGGGUCUGGGUCAUGAAAAUUUUUGAAAUUUGAAGCACGGAAAUGCCAUUUCCUGCAUUCUGAGCAUCCAAAUUUGCUCAAAAAUUUAUGCUAACUAUACUUGUAUUUGAAAUAAAAGAAGGAAAAAAUGCACAAAAAGUAAAAAAGAAUAUUAACCGUAGUUUAUCAUUACCUAUUAGAGGGGGAUAAUUUUUGAAAUUUGAGAUCCGGAAAUACUAUUUCCUGCAUUCUGAGCAUCCAAAAAAUAAAAAAAAUUAUUAACAAUAAUUUAUCAUUACUUAGUGGUAGAAAAACAUGAGUGAUAACAAUUUAAAUCGAUUUUGUUAACAAGGACAAAGGAAAAAGCCCAAAACUUACCUUCCAUUUAUCUAUUUGUUAUUCUUCGCUGGUUUGUUUGAAUGUAUAAUUUUAGGAAAAAGGGACUUUUCCUGGGGGGGGGCACAAGGGGGGACUGGGGGGCAUUUGCCCUGUUUGCCUAUGAUUUUGGCAUAACCGUUGCAAUGCUGUUGCCAUGGCCAGAGUACUUUAAGGUAAUUCUGCAGUAAUUGUUCCCGAAAUGAGAAUGUGCUGAAACUUCCCAGGCAUGGAGUUUAUAAUAUACUUAAAGUAAAAUGUUAUCACACAAAAAAGUCGGGGUCACCGUACUCGUUAAGAAGAUAUGACAAUCACAAUAUACCACCUUUACCCCAAUAUUGCACCAUCUUCACGCUCAUUACGAGUAACAGCAAAAUCACAACAGCCCGAUAUUUAUUGACAUUUUUAGCCCGGAUUUUGUUUUAGUAAACCUAUCUUGCAAUUAUUUUUGAAAAAAUAUUGUGUUUUGAGCAAAUAAAACUACUAACAUGUACAAUUCUGAUCCACAAAUGUCUUUUCCACAUUUCUUUACAUAUCUUUCUUUGAGAACAUGCAUUGAUAAAGGAUUUUUUUUCAAGAUCCAGAAAUGAUUUUUCUUUUGAUUUCGGAUAUGAAAUGUAAAAUGCAUUAAAGAAAUAAAUUAUCAGUUAAAAAACGGGGGUCACCGAUCUUUUUAGGGAAUUGUGGCAUUAAAACGUGAAAUACAAGUAAAUAAAUAUACUACAGACACAGGGAACCCUAGCUACUUUUGUAUGCCUUUUUUUGAAAACAUUAAUUUUAACGUAAUUCUUUGCACGAAUGUGACCAAAGAUGUUUUGAAGUAACAUAAAAUUGUCAUAAAAUGAUUUUUUUAAACGG